rfam:Oceanobacillus picturae, S1, WGS project CCAX01000000 data, contig: 000001
CUCUUAUUCAGAGUAGGUGGAGGGACAGCCCCGAUGAAACCCAGCAACCAUCACAUCGGUGAAAAGGUGCUAACCUGGUGCAAGGAAAUUUCCUUGAACAAUAAGAG